AGAAUUUAGUUAAAUAAAUAACGUAGACUUGUCGUGUCUAAGUUACCUAGCCGGUACUUCUU
rnacentral:tRNA from 1 species